rnacentral:rRNA from 1 species
CCUACGGGAGGCAGCAGUGGGGGAUAUUGCACAAUGGGGGGAACCCUGAUGCAGCGACGCCGCGUGGGUGAAGGAGUGCUUCGGUAUGUAAAGCCCUAUCGGCAGGGAAGAAGCAAGACGGUACCUGACUAAGAAGCCCCUGCCAACUACGUGCCAGCAGCCGCGGUAAUACGUAGGGGGCGAGCGUUAUCCGGAUUCACUGGGUGUAAAGGGAGCGUAGACGGCCAUGCAAGCCAGGGGUGAAAGGCCGGGGCCCAACCCCGGGACUGCCCUUGGAACUGCAUGGCUGGAGUGCGGGAGGGGCAGGCGGAAUUCGUGGUGUAGCGGUGAAAUGCUUAGAUAUCAGGAGGAACACCGACGGCGAAGGCGGCCUGCUGGACCGCGACUGACGUUGAGGCUCGAAAGCGUGGGGAGCGAACAGGAUUAGAUACCCGUGUAGUC